rnacentral:rRNA from 2 species
AACUUUUAACGGUGGAUCUCUUGGCUCGUGCAUCGAUGAAGAACGCAGCCAGGUGCGAUAAGUAGUGUGAAUGAUUCUGUGUGUUUAUUUACUGAUGUCACUGUCGGUUUAUUUACUGAUUACAGAUGAAUGUUCGUAUUUAUUUACUGAUGACUCUGGCAUG